AUUGAACGCUGGCGGCAUGCUUUACACAUGCAAGUCGAACGGCAGCGCGGGCUUCGGCCUGGCGGCGAGUGGCGAACGGGUGAGUAAUGCAUCGGAACGUGCCCAGUAGUGGGGGAUAGCCCGGCGAAAGCCGGAUUAAUACCGCAUACGACCUGAGGUUGAAAGCGGGGGACCGAAAGGCCUCGCGCUAUUGGAGCGGCCGAUGUCGGAUUAGCUAGUUGGUGGGGUAAAGGCUUACCAAGGCGACGAUCCGUAGCUGGUCUGAGAGGACGACCAGCCACACUGGGACUGAGACACGGCCCAGACUCCUACGGGAGGCAGCAGUGGGGAAUUUUGGACAAUGGGGGCAACCCUGAUCCAGCCACGCCGCGUGCGGGAAGAAGGCCUUCGGGUUGUAAACCGCUUUUGUUCGGGAAGAAAUCCUCUGGGCUAAUACCCCGGGGGGAUGACGGUACCGGAAGAAUAAGCACCGGCUAACUACGUG
rnacentral:rRNA from 1 species